UACGGAGGAUGCAAGCGUUAUCCGGAUUUAUUGGGUUUAAAGGGUGCGUAGGCGGAUUAAUAAGUCAGUGGUGAAAACCUUCAGCUUAACUGGAGACUUGCCAUUGAUACUGUUAGUCUUGAGUAUGGUUAAGGUAGGCGGAAUGUGUAAUGUAGCGGUGAAAUGCUUAGAUAUUACACAGAACACCGAUUGCGAAGGCAGCUUACUGAACCAUAACUGACGCUGAUGCACGAAAGCGUGGGGAGCGAACAGG
rnacentral:rRNA from 1 species